rnacentral:rRNA from 1 species
GUACACGCUGUGACUAGCAUAUCAAUAAGCGGAGGAAAAGAAACUAACAAGGAUUCCCCUAGUAACGGCGAGUGAAGCGGGAAGAGCUCAAAUUUGAAAUCUUAAAGGGUUUCCCUUUACGAAUUGUAGUUUAAAGAAGUGUUUUCUGUUGAGGUUUUGGUAAAAGUUCUUUGGAAUAGGACAUCAUAGAGGGUGAGAAUCCCGUAUUUGACCUUUACUUUCAACUUUGUGAUACACUUUCAAAGAGUCGGAUUGUUUGGGAAUGCAGUCCAAAAUGGGUGGUAAAUUUCAUCUAUAGCUAAAUAUUGGCGAGAGACCGAUAGCGAACAAGUACCGUGAGGGAAAGAUGAAAAGAACUUUGAAAAGAGAGUUAAACAGUACGUGAAAUUGUCAAAAGGGAAGCGUUUGACUCCAGUGUUGUUUUUCUGAAAAUCAAUUAAAGAACUGUUUAUGCUAAGCUGUUUAGACUUUAUCAGCUAACUGUUUAGUUUUGAGCUUUUCUUUAAUGCACUUUUCAGUUAACAAGUCAACAUCAAUUUCUUUUGCUGUAAAAAAGCUUGAGGAAGGUGGCUUGAGAUUCGUCUUAAGUGUUUAUAGCCUCUUGCCUAUGCAGUCGGAGAGAUUGAGGUCUGCAGCGUAGAUCCUUCGGGGCUAAAUGCAUUUGUGCUAAGUUAUAGCAUUUUAUAGACAACUUGUUGACUAUGAUUUGUCUUGUAGCUUACUCGCUUAUGUUAUUUUACCUACGCUUAGGAUGUUGACGCGCGUGUGUGCGUG